UUCUCCACCCUGGUGUGUUUAUUGGUGCGGCACACCAGGCGACGGACCCCCCCGCUGUUGCUUGGCCUCAGGCAGUUAUCUGCCGGCAACAGUUCUUGGCGCCCAACGUGGGGCAUUGAGGCUAAAAUUAGCCUUGCCUGGAUCCCUUCUGGUGGUCGACGGAUUGCGGCGACGACCGACGCCCAGCGCGCACCGGUGACUUCACCGGGGGCCUCGGCGGAGACGCGGUAUGAGCCACCCCAGAGGGCACAACGGUGCAACGCGCUCGAGUAGUGGAGAAGCAGUUGAGGGCGACGGUGAGGAACCGGUCCCUUGGAUAAGCUUAACUGUCCAGUAAGAUCCAACAGUGUGCCUUUGUGACCCCGGAGCCGGUGUGGCUUGGUGACACUGAAGAAGCCGCAGGCAGCUGACCUGGACUGGAAUCUCUGAAAGAGACGCUGCAGAAGAUUCCAGGGUGCAAGAGAACAGCCCUCCAAAGAGCGGAAGCAUGUUAGAAAUUCUGGACAAGCUGUAUACAGGAUAAUCUCCAGUCCACCUCUGCCCCCUUCUCUGAACAUUAUACACAGAAGUGGCCAGUCUGGACGUUAAAAGAAGCCAAGAAGGGAAGAAGGACAAAGAACAGAAUGAAUUAACUGAAAAAAUAAAAUAAAAUAGCAAGCUCAGGCUAUAGAUAAGACACUGACUCCAUUCAAGGACACUGCUCACAGUUAAGACUUGGCUAACAACCAGGAAAAGGAGGGCUUGAAUUUGCCCACGCAGCUAUGAGAUUUGCAAAACAUUGCCAGGCACUAAUGAAAUGUGUUAAGUUUCUUUUCUCACAGGUAAAGAAGCGCUACCCAAAGACCCUAGCAGCCCUGCCACUCUUUGGAACCAGGAGAAGGGAUUGAUGUAAAGGUCCACCGACGAAAGUCUGCUCUGGCUCCACCCUGGAAAGGCCCUUAAGUCCCGGUGACUACCAACAUCGCUGUAAAAUGUCAAAGACUGACUGCAUGGACCCAAGAUUCUCACUGCAAAAAGACCCCUCCACAUCGGGAGAAUUCUCCUACUGACGAUUAGCCUAUUUCACCUUCUAGCUCCACUGUGCCUUCUGGACAGUAGGGAAAAAGUACAAGGAUGCUGCACCACGACUGUUUUGGGAAAGAAGAAGGAACACUCGCUCCACUGAAAUUGCCAAAGUCCAGGAAUUCCUGACUAGAAAGGACAUUAAGAACUGACCCUGGUGAAGAAACAAAGAAUUAUACAUUGGUGGGAGGACAUUUGUGGGACCCAUGUUUGGGAAUGUGGUAUUAAUUGGAUUUUGGGGUUUAUUCUACAGGCUGCGCCCUGUGUUUUGGAUAAAUCCUUCAGCAUAUA